AUACCUAAUAAAAUACAUAUUUUAAGAACCAUAAGUAUACCUACUUGAUUUUGGUAAUGUGAUUGUCACAUGCUCCAAUGAUCCUCUUCCUAAUUUUUUCCUCGAUCAAUCAAAACAUUUUUCCAAGGGGGUGGGAGAUGAAAAAACACAAAUCGUCUUUAUAUCGACCUAAUACUGUCUUAGUAAAAUUACUCACAGGAAGUUAGGGUGGAGGUACUCACAGUAUGAAAUCGGAAGUUUACGGGAAGAAAAUGCACGACUUUCAUCAGUUUCACGUGUAACCAUCUGUUGC